AUUGAACGCUGGCGGCAGGCCUAACACAUGCAAGUCGAGCGGAGCGGCGGACGGGUGAGUAAUGCCUAGGUCUCUGCCUGGUAGUGGGGGAUAACGUCCGGUAACGGGCGCUAAUACCGAAACCUCUUAGCUGAGCCUAGGUCGGAAUAGCUAGUUGGAGGGGUAAAGGCCGACCAUGGCGACGAUCCGUAACUGGUCUGAGAGGAUGAGCAGCCACACUGGAACUGAGACACGGUCCAGACUCCUACGGGAGGCAGCAGUGGGGAAUAUUGGACAAUGGGCGCAAGCCUGAUCCAGCCAUGCCGCGUGUGUGAAGAAGGUCUUCGGAUUGUAAAGCACUUUCAGUUGGGAGGCGUUACCCACAGAAUAAGCACCGGCUAACUCCGUGCCAGCAGCCGCGGUAAUAC
rnacentral:rRNA from 1 species